GGACACUCAAGUGGCCUGUGACCUGUCCUGCUGGAAAUUCAACAGUCUCUCUUCAAUGUGAGGAGGACGAUGAUGGCUCACCACUGGAAAGCACUAAGAGGAAACUUACACUGCAUUAAAGAGACCUAAAAUAUAGCUUGGCAUGGAUGAAGAUUAAAGGAAUGGAAACACCCAUUGCAUGUUCAGAGCUGGAACAAGACAUCUCAGCUUGCAAGCCAAGUUCCCCAUCUCCGGAUUCCACAUGGCAACACAUUGGAUUGUGCCACCCUCUGGUUUCUGCUCUUGGGCUUCUUCCAGCCAUUGCAUGAAUUUUCCCCUUUUGGACAGCAGCAUCGACAUCAAAGACUGCCAACUUGCAUCUCUAUCAGUACUUCUCUAAGA